rnacentral:sRNA from 1 species
UUCGCCGGAGGUCAACGCCCGACAGCGCGAUGCGCCCUCGGGCGUCGUCGGC